rnacentral:rRNA from 1 species
ACGCGGGCGGUUCGCCGCCCGUGACUCGGCGAGAAGUCCAUUGAACCUUAUCAUUUAGAGGAAGGAGAAGUCGUAACAAGUUUCCGUAGGUGAACCUGCGGAAGGAUCAUUG